UACGAAGGGGGCUAGCGUUGUUCGGAAUUACUGGGCGUAAAGGGCGCGCAGGCGGCCCUCCAAGUCAGGCGUGAAAGCCCCGGGCUCAACCCGGGAAUAGCGCUUGAGACUGGGGGGCUUGAGUUCGGGAGAGGAGAGUGGAAUUCCCAGUGUAGAGGUGAAAUUCGUAGAUAUUCGCAAGAACACCGGUGGCGAAGGCGGCCAACUGGACCAUUACUGACGCUGAGGCGCGAAAGCGUGGGGAGCAAACAGG
rnacentral:rRNA from 1 species